rnacentral:pre_miRNA from 15 species
UGGACAGAAAUUGAAAAUUGUUCAAAAAGAAGGGAACGGUCGCUGCUGAUGUAGUUAUUCGCAUCAUUUAUAUCACAGUGGCUGUUCUUUUUUGUUUGCCAAUCGAUCUACGUUCCUGCGAA